UUCAGAUCUACUAUGCCUGAACUUUCUCUUCUAACAAUUCCGGGAAUACUAGUCACGAAGAUUCUCCAGCAGAACCCUGACUUGUUCAGCAAUUCCGUCUUCAUUUGGAAUUAACAUCACAGUCUACCUGGGCCCCAAAUAUGUCUGUAACUCCCAUGAGAAGAUAAUCCUCUGAAAGGAAAAGAGAACACCUGUAUACCUUCUUUUCUUUCUUCUUCUCCCACCCAAGCAUCUACCACACUGCCAGAUAUGUAUGAUGUUACCCAAAGGAGUUCUACAGAUGUGGAUUUCUCAGAGAACCAAGAAGAUGAGUGCAAGAAGCCAGGAACUGCGUCAUUCCUACAUCAUUAGAGUAUUCUCCUGUGUCACCUCCAGAGAAGAGGCUAUCAGAGCUUCCCUGUAAGUUUUGGGAUCCUUACUCCUACACUAAGGAAAAACUUCUCUGAGGUAGCACUUCCCAAAUUAGAACCCAUUGUAUUAACAUAAGCCAUUGCUUAUCCGCCAAA